ACACAACACGAGUCACUAGUAUAUCAAGUAUAGAAGGCAAAAUAUUUCCCCCUCACUGAUUUUAUUCAUGCAUCACUCGGCACUAAUCCCUCCUAUACUUGGAGAAGUAUAAUGGCUGCCCAACAUCUAGUGCAAAAAGGGAUUCAUUGGAAUGUGGGCAAUGGUGAAUCUAUUCGUGUGUGGGAGGACAAAUGGCUCCCAUCUCCCUCAACUUUCAAAGUCACCUCUCCAAGGCAAUUCCUACAUGCUGAAACUCGGGUCAGUGAAUUAAUUUCAUAUGAAGAGGUGGCUUGGAAAACCCAGAUCAUUGAAGCCAUUUUCCUUCCUCAUGAAGCUGAAUUGAUCAAAAUCAUACCUCUAAGCAUACACUUGCCUGAAGAUAAGCUAGUGUGGGCUGCCACUCCUAAUGGUUUAUUUAGUGUCCGCAACGUUUAUAGGUUGGCAGUGGAGGAUUCUCGGCCUAACAAGUAGAGGGGCCAGCUCGGAUAACAACAAAAAUCAUAGAUUUUGGAAGCUACUAUGGAGCUUGUAGAUUCCCUACAAGGUUCACCAUUUUGCCUGGAGAGCUUGCCAAGGUAUCUUGCCAACAAAGGAGAACCUAUCGCAGAGGGGUGUUCAACUGGAUGCUUGUUACAAUGAAUGCAGGGAGAAAGUUAAGACCUCAGGACAUCUCUUCUAGACAUGUCAGUGGGCAAGGGAAGCCAAGCAGUGCACCAAGCUCAAGUUCCAUUUUGAUCAAGCUCAAGUUAAGUCCUUCUAUGACCUGUUAUGGCUAUUGUUAAUGUCUGACUCUUAUGAUGAAGGGGAUGCAGCACUAGUGGUAACUCUGGUGUGGUCAAUUUGGUUUAAUCUCAAUGAGGUUCAGCAUGGGGUGUAACGCCUUAGCCCAAGUCAAGUAUAAAAAAAAAAAAGGGGGUGGUCAGAUUUUUGACUCACGUGAGCCCUACCCACCUAUCCCUUAAUUCCCCAACACUCCUUUUUUCUCAAAAUAUCUCCCCUUUGGCUGGCUGGCUCUCCUCUCUUCUCACUUUGCUCUCUUUUUCUUUUUCAUUUUGUCUCAAACACCCACAAUCCUCUCUCACUCUCCCACCAGUGCAUCACUCCACCGCCUCCACCAUUAUCUUCUGGCGAAAAAGCUCCAUAAAACCUCUUAAACUCCUACAUCUCAUCUUAUUUAAGGAAAAAUCUACAGAUACUUUGAGACAUCUUUCUCAUGCUUUGGAUCCUAUGGGGUUCGGGGCGCAACAUGGGGUAACAUGAAAAGUGUCAUGGCUCUUGUUCAGUGGGCGCAGUACUAUUUGUAGGAAUAUCAGGAGGCAAAUAAUGUGGAUUUUAUACCUGCAAUGCCUUGGGUGGUUAGGUGGUCUCCUCCUCCAAUGCCAAGAUACAAGGUCAAUGUGGAUUAAGCGGUUUUCUCAGCUCAAAAAUCUACUGGUGUUGGGGUGCUGAUUCGGGAUUCUUAUGGACAGGUCAUUGCUGCUUUGAGCAGAAAAUCAAUGCUCUUUUGGGUGCAAUGGAAGUGGAAGCCAAGGCGUUUGAAGCUAGUCUGGAGUUUGCUCGGGACGUUGUUGUUCAAGAGUUCAUCCUUGAGGGUGACUCAGUGGUGAUUUUUAACGCUUUCUGUGGUUUCUCUACACCACCAUCCUCAAUAGCUUCUAUUGUUAGGGGUAUGGUAAUGGCUUGUGGAUCUUUUGGCCGGGUUGAAUUUUCUCAUGUUAAGAGGUAAGCUAAUAGACCAACACAUCUAUUAGCAAAACAUGCGUUAGGAAUUGUUGAUUUUUUGACUUCGA